rnacentral:rRNA from 1 species
CAGUCGCCGCGGUAAUACAGAGGAUGCAAGCGUUAUCCGGAAUGAUUGGGCGUAAAGCGUCUGUAGGUGGCUUUUCAAGUCCGCCGUCAAAUCCCAGGGCUCAACCCUGGACAGGCGGUGGAAACUACCAAGCUGGAGUACGGUAGGGGCAGAGGGAAUUUCCGGUGGAGCGGUAAAAUGCGUUGAGAUCGGAAGGAACAUCUGUGGCGAAGGCGACUAUCUGGGCCAACACUGACACUGAGGCACGAAAGCGUGGGGAGCAAACAGGAUUAGAUACCCCAGUAGUCCCUGUCUCUUAUAC